AAUCAACGCUGGCGGCGUGCCUCAGACAUGCAAGUCGAACGAUUAAACUUUCCUUCGGGAAAGAUAUAAAGUGGCGCACGGGUGAGUAACACGUAAGUAAUCUACCUUCGAGUGGGGAAUAACGUUCGGAAACGAACGCUAAUACCGCAUAAUGCAGCGGCACCUAAUGGUGACAGUUGUUAAAGGAGCAAUUCGCUUGAAGAGGAGCUUGCGGCAGAUUAGCUAGUUGGAAGGUAACGGCUUACCAAGGCUACGAUCUGUAACCGGUCUAAGAGGACGGUCGGUCACACUGACACUGAA
rnacentral:rRNA from 1 species